CCCUCCCGCCCCCGCCCUAUAUGUUGCCUGCCUCGGCCUCUGGGGCAUGGAGCACGCGGCCCAGCCCUGGCGAUGGCGACGGCGACGGCGACGGCGGUGGUGGAGGAGCGCCUGCUGGCUGCGUUCGCCUACCUUCAGUGCGCCGUGGGCUGCGCGGUCUUCGCUCGGAAUCGUCAGACGAACUCAGUGUACAGCCGCCACGCGCCACCCAGCCGCAGGCUCCGAGUGCCGGCGCGGGCCACCCGGGUGGUGCAGAAGCUGCCCUCACUGGCCCUGCCGCUCUACCAGUACACCAGUGAGUCCACCCCGCGCCUCCGCAGCGCGCCCAGCUGCAUCCUCCUGGCCAUGUUCCUCGUCCACUACUGGCAUCGGUGCUUAAUUUACCCAUUUCUGAUGCGAGGAGGAAAGCCUGUGCCACUGUUGGCGUGCACAAUGGCGAUUAUGUUCUGUACCUGUAAUGGCUAUUUGCAAAGCAGAUACUUGAGCCAUUGUGCAGUGUAUGCUGAUGACUGAGUAAAAGAUCCCCGUUUUCUAAUAAAUUUUGGCUUGUGGUUAACGGGCAUGUUGAUAAACAUCCAUUCAGAUCAUAUCCUAAGGAAUCUCAGAAAAGCAGGAGAUACUGGAUACAAAAUACCAAGGGGAGGCUUAUUUGAAUACAUAACUGCAGGCAACUAUUUUGGAGAAAUCAUGGAGUGGCGUGGCUAUGCCCUGGCCAGCUGGUCUGUCCAAGGCGCGACUUUUGCUUUCUUCACAUUUUGUUUUUUAUCUGGUAGAGCAAAAGAGCAUCAUGAGCGGUACCUCCGGAAAUUUGAAGAGUAUCCAAAGUUCAGAAAAAUUAUAAUUCCAUUUUUGUUUUAAGUGCAUUUUCAACGAAUUACCUUCAACUUGAAGCUUUCCAAUGGUAUUUUUCAAUGGACUUUGUAAAUAAGUUAUAUCUUUGUAAUUUUCCUGCUACUUCAUCAUUUUCAAGAUGUCCUCUAGGAAUUUUUUUUCUAGUAAUUUUGCAAGCUACCUAAUAAGUACCUAAAUAAACUGAAACGGAGGUUGAGGUAUCCUACUGUGUAACAGGUCAGAAUUUCAAACUCCGGGUAAUAACUGCUGACAUUUUUUCUAAUUUCAAAUUUACCUCUUUUGGCUAUGUCUUGCCAAGGGUGUACAAGACUAGAAUUUGCAACUGUCUGAUGGCAUUUUCAGUCAAACUCCAGGUAAUAACUGCUGACAUUUUUUCUAAUUUCGAAUUUACCUCUUUUGGCUAUGUCUUGCCAAGUGUGUAUAAGACUAGACUUUACGACUAUCUUUGAUGGCAUUUUCAGAACAAUAAAUGUCACAAUCCCUUCUAUAGCCCCCUACGGUGAUCCCUUCAAGGUCAACGGCAGUGUUGCUUCCCUUUCCCUGUAGGGCUGGGAUCUGUCUUGGAGUCCUCUCUCGGAGGCCACAGAGGCCGGGGGUAGCCAUUGUGAAGUCAUGGCCUGGGGGAAAGUUGCCAAACUUCGUGUCAGGUGCUGUGUGUAAGUGGAGAACUUGGGGAUAGAGGAGGAAGCUCCUUGUGGCCCUUCUAAGGCGGGGCAAAGGCAUCUGGACUUGUUCCAGCCCAGCCCACCGGGUGACAUCACCGGGCAGGGAGGGGUGCUGGUGGUGGUUCAUAGGGAGUAAGCUGCUCUGCCUGUGUGAGUGGCUCCUGGGCCCUAAACAAGCACCUUUAGGCCAUGGGUCACUCACCAUGAGCCAUCAAUAUGCUCUGGUCUGACAUGGUUUCUCUCUGUCUUCUAGUCUAGACCUAGUCUUUUGUUCUGUUCCCCAGGUAUGGAUAUACUAGAGAUUGUUGUCUGUGAAAUUUCUCCUUUGUAGAGUUUGAGUUUUCCCUUGUAGUGUAAAGAAUGAUCACCUUCUGUAACGAUAGCAAGACCACUUUUUAAGAUUUAUCCUCUUUGUUCUUUGUUGAUUGAAACAUAAUAAUUACAUUGUUAAAAUUCUCUACAGCCUUCUUUUUCUUCCAUAGCUAAUCUUCCAAUAGUUUUUGCUUUCUGUUUCGCUGUUGUUGCUUUGCAAAGCUUUCCCCUCAUAGCCUGUAUCUGUUAUCAAUAUAAAAUAAUCUUCCUGUUGAAUGCUUCAUGACUUGAAUUCUACUUUGAUAAAAACAUUGCCAUACUGCUUU